rnacentral:rRNA from 1 species
AGUGAACGCUGGCGGUAGGCCUAACACAUGCAAGUCGAACGGCAGCACAGUAAGAGCUUGCUCUUACGGGUGGCGAGUGGCGGACGGGUGAGGAAUACAUCGGAAUCUACUUUUUCGUGGGGGAUAACGUAGGGAAACUUACGCUAAUACCGCAUACGACCUGCGGGUGAAAGCAGGGGAUCUUCGGACCUUGCGCGAUUGAAUGAGCCGAUGUCGGAUUAGCUAGUUGGCGGGGUAAAGGCCCACCAAGGCGACGAUCCGUAGCUGGUCUGAGAGGAUGAUCAGCCACACUGGAACUGAGACACGGUCCAGACUCCUACGGGAGGCAGCAGCGGGGAAUAUUGGACAAUGGGCGCAAGCCUGAUCCAGCCAUACCGCGUGGGUGAAGAAGGCCUUCGGGUUGUAAAGCCCUUUUGUUGGGAAAGAAAAGCAGCAGGUUAAUACCCCGCUGUUCUGACGGUACCCAAAGAAUAAGCACCGGCUAACUUCGUG